AAGCCGAGGGAACGCUGUGGCUGAAAGGGACCUGGGUCCGCUCAGUCAGCCCGAGGUGGCUGUUGAUUGAGGGAGGUCGCGCCCUCCCAGUUACCUUCCCUGGUGGUUGUGCCGCUCGGUGUGACGCGGUCAAGGGGACGGCUACGCGAGAAUGGGGGAGUGGGGCGCCCGAGGCUGCUCCUGGGCCCUGGGAAGCCCCCGAUUAAUGAAUGGUCGGGUCAGCGACGCGAGGGUCGGGGUUUCUCUGAGGACCGCGCGCUGCACCUGCGGAGCCGGGUGAAUGGAUGUCGCGAAGGCAAGGGCUGCCCUUACCCCUCGGGGCCGACCUCGGAGCCCUCGCCCGUGGUUGCAACGCUUUCCCGGGAAACCGGAGAAGCCAGGCCGGGGGCUCGGCCUUUCUGAGGCGGCCCUUCCGGCGGAGGACACCGGCGGAAUUUGAGUGCACAGAGUGCGCGAGAGGAGCUCCCUGUAGACACACAGUCCAAGCCACGUAGGUAAUUCUAAUAGCAGCCACAUUUUUAAAGAGUAAAGAGAAAUCGGUGAAACUGCUUUUAAUGUGUUUAAUUUAGCCCAUCCUGUCAUUUCAGCAUGUAAUCAGUCUAAAAGAAUUAAUUAGAUCUUUUACGCUCUGUCGUUGGUUCUAAGUCUUGGAAAUCCAGUGUGUGUUUUAGAGUUAACAGCCCAUCUCAAUUUGGACUAGACCCGUGCCAGGUGCCCAGUUGGCUGUGUACCCUCAUGUAUAUAGGACAGCAAAGUUCUGUAGAAAAGAACUUCAGGCCAGGCGCGGUGGCUCACGCCCGUAAUCCCAGCACUUUGCGAGGCCGAGGCGGGCGGAUCAUCUGAGGUCAGGGGUUCAAGACCAGCCUGGCCAACAUGGCGAAACCCAGUCUCUGCUAAAAAAUACAAAAAUUAGUCCCGGCGCAGUGGCGCAGACCUGUAAUCCCAGCUACUUGGGAGGUUGAGGCAGGAGAAUCGCUUGAACCCGGGAGGCGGAGGUUGUGGUGAGCCGAGAUCGCGCCACUGCACUCCAGCCUGGGCAACAGAGCAAGAUUCCAUCUCAAAAGAAAAAGAAAACAUGAACUUCAAAUGCUUGGGGAGGUCGUAGAUUUCAUCCACACAGCCUGGUUGAACCAGAGUCAGCCUUGUUAGAGUCGAAUGUUGCAUGCUCAGAAUCCAGGCUGCCAAGAGAAAACCAAAAGAAGAUGGCGCUUUAAAAAACCUUCCAGUGCCUUCCCUUGACUCAAUCAAAUUCAAACACCUUACUUUCUAUUCUCCGAGGCUCUACCCCUCCCUCUGAGGUCCUGCCACACCCCCUUCUCUACCCUGCUCACCCUACUUGAGUCGCAAUGACACAUUUGAUGUUCUUCUAACAAGCACUUUAGUUGGUACUAAGUCAGAAAGUCAGAAAUCCAUUACUCUUCUGCUUGGAACAUCCUUUUGCUGGCUUGCUUCCUUAUUUUUUGGAUCUCUGCCCAAAUGCCUUUGUAAGAGAGGCUUAUCCAAAUCCACUUACCAAAAAUAGUGCCUACCUUCCUAAGUCCUUACCAGGCAUAACUUUUCUCCAGUACUGUAUUAGUUAUCUACUACUCUGUAUUAAAUUACCCCCAAAUUUAGCAUCAAGCUUUAUUUCAGUUUCUGUAUGUCAGGUAUUUGAGUGACUCAGCUGGGUGGUUCUGACUAAGAUCUCCUAAGAGGUUGCAGUGAACAUGCUGUCCAGGGCUAAAAUCAUCUGAAGAUCUGACUGUAUUUGACUGUGGCUGGAGAGUCUCCCUUAAAGAUGGUUCAUUUACAUAGCUGAUAGCAAGAGGUUUUGGUUCCUUGACAAGUAGGCCUCUCCAUAGGGCUGCUUGAGUGCAGCAGAGAGCCACAUGAAAUUCAUAGACCUAGCAUUGGAAGUCACACAGUCGUUUCCACAAUGUGUUGUUACUUUUGCAGGUCAGCCCUAUUUAAUGUGAGAAGGGUUAACAUAAGGGCAUGAAUACCAGGAAGUGGGAAGUGGGGGGCAGGGUGGUUUUAGGGGAUCAUUGGGAGAUCAGCUACCACUAGCAUUUGUUGUCACUGAUUUCCCAGGCUUAGCACUGGAAGUCCUGCAUCCCAGGAAAUCCCUCAAUCCUGGGCAAACCAGGAUGUCUAGUCACACUGCAUGUUAGUCAUCUGCGUCUAGAUAGAACAUAAGCUCCAUGACAGCAAGCACUCCUUUGUUGUAUACCCUAAUGCUAGAACAGUGCCAGCAGAUCAACUGUUCAGUAUUUGUUAAACGAAUCUUUUGCAGUGCAAAAGUUAAGUCAGAUGGUGAUUUUUAUUUCUGAAAACUUAUUUUGAGAUUAUCAGUAUCUUUUAAAAUAGCUGAGCCAUCUGGAUACUCACUUUGAGAAAUGUAGCUAGUAUUAGUUGUUAACUGGAAUAAGCAAAGCAGAGUAUAUUUUCAAGCUUCCCUAAAAAGUAAAGCAGAAGAUGGCUAUAAAAGUAAAGAACUUCUGGUUUUACUUUUGCCUAUUAUCAUUCUUAUAUGGCUCUUCCAGCAUCUGUUCUUCAGGUCACUAUUUCCUCCCUGCCUCCUCUAAUCUAUUUUCAUGUUCCUCCUAUUUCAGCAUCAUUGAACUCUCCAGUUUCUUUACUUUUCUUCUUUAAAGGGGUAUUGUUUCCUCCGCCAUACUAAUUUUCCAAUGUACUGUUCUUCUGCAGUCUCCAAGAUAACCUUACUCUUUCCCCAUAUCCCCCUCUACAGUAAAUACAGGUAAUCAGUAAUUUUCCUGUAGUAUUUUUUUCAUAUGUCACUUUUUCUGUUCAAGAAUAGUUGUCUGAUGCCCAUAAGAUAAAGUUUAAAUUCCAUUUGUAUCUUUCCUUUCCUGGCUUUCGUAUCUCCCAUAGUCUCUCCCACAUGCUAUGUAUUUUUUGUAAUAUUCUACUGGUUCUAAAUUAAGGCAUUCCUACCCUCACGAAGUUUUUUUUUUUUUUUUUUUUUUUUACUUCUUAGGGAUGAUAAAAAAAUAUUUACAGUUAAAUAGCUGGAUCUAGUACAAUGAAAUAUAAAGAAAGGGCUAAUGAGUAUUUAGGAUAGAGAAAUCUCAUGCCAUUAGAGAGAUCAGAAAAGUUUUCAUUAAGGAGUAGACAUUUCAGAUGGGUCCUAAAGGAGAAGAUUGAGGACUCUGCAAGUGGAAAGGGAGGUGGAACAGGUAGAAGAAAUACUGUGGAGGGAGGAAAAUCAAGGACAUAUUUAAGAAGAAUGUGUCUACGUUGGAUGAAGCUUAGGAUACAAACAAGGGAAAAUGAGACUAGAGAGAGCCACGAUAUCAUUGGCAAAAGACUUGGAUUGUUGUGUUUACUGCUCAUGCUUCAUUUGAUGGAGAGUCACAGAAUGUUUCAGCUUGUAUGGCACCAGGAAUAGAAGUGGGCCUUGAGUAAAUCCAGCAGCAGUAUCUGGAACUAAUUGGAGAAAAAAAAAAAGAGUAGGUCUACAGCCAAUACCUCCUUGGUAAAUGCAAGGGACUGUUGAGUAAAAUCUCUGCGGCACAUCCUCAGCACUCUUAAUGUGUCUAACCUCUGCUGACAGUACUGCUAUCAAAAAAAAUUACCAAAUUGAUCACUCUGAAGAAUUUAAACUAAGAUCACUGAUAUAGUUUGGAUGUUGUCCCCACUUAUAUCUCAUGUCAAAAUGUAAUCCCAGUGUUGGAAGCAGGGCCUGGUGGGAGUGAUUGGAUCAUGGGUGUGAAUUUCUCAGCACCAUCCCCUUGGUGCUGUUCCAGCGACAGUGAGUUCUCUCAAGGUGUGGUUGUUUAAAAGUGUGUAUCACCUCCUGCCUUGCUCUCUCUUGCCUCUGAUUUUGGCAUGUGAACUGCCUGCGCCCACUUUGCCUUCUGCCUUGAGUAAAAGCUCCCUGAGGUCUCUCCAGAAGCAGAGGCCACCAUGCUUCUGUACAGCCUGCAGAACCCUGAACCAAUUAAAUCUCAUAUAAAUUACCCAGUCUCAGGUAUUUCUUUAUAGCAAUGUGAGGAUGGACUAAUACAACCAUCUAUGACAAAGAAAAUUAAUUUGAAAGUAUUGAAAAUUAUAAUUCCUUCUGUAUGUCAUGACAUAGCCCUUAAAAUAGUUCACGUAAUUCUUAAACUACUAGAGUUAUGGUGCACACUGUAACAGUGACAGUACACACAGUAACAUGGUUCUUGUUUCAGUCUUGGAAGACUUUGGGAUAUUCAUCCUUGAUAAUUACAUAAUUUAAAAUAAAAGCUAAUAAAGUUGCCUUCAAGUCAUUUUGUAUGCUGAUCACAAUAUUCUCUGUGACAAGUUUACUGCUGUUCACAUUCCUAUAUCGCAGUGGCACCUUGGUUUUUAAAAGGAAGGCUAUGAAGGGGAUUGGGUUGGUUGAGGGUAACCUUUGGUGGGGGUAACAAAUACUGAAAUAUAAAAACUAAUGUACACUUAUCACAUGGUUUACAGUUUCUGUGAAUUCUGUGUUUAUGAAAACGUUAAGUCCUGUGAGAGAUUUUCAAUCCCCAAUUGUUUUGGCUGUCUACAUAUGCAAAGUCUUGUCUUAAUUUAAUAAGGAAUUGAAAUUUACAGCAAAGCCUGUUUACACAGCAUUUAAAACAGUAUAGAUCAACUGGUUUCUGCAGUCUUUGAAAAAAGAAAAAAACUAAAAUAAAAUCAGUAUUUAAUACUUAGUGAAAUUCUGUUAAACUAUUUAAAAUUAUGAUCGCUGUUAAUGUAUCAAAAAGCAAAACCAAUAUACUAGUAUGAUACAUUAGAAAGAGAAUAGGCUUUGGGGUCAGGCUGGCUUUUUCCCUGACUAGCUAUGUAACCUUGGACAAUUUAUCUACCCUGUUCUUUGGCAAAAUGUUCCUAAUACCACUUAACUGUAGAGUCAGGAGGGUUAAACAGGAUCCUGUUUUCUAUGUCUUAGACCAAGAGUUUGCACACUUUUCCUGUAAAGGGCCAGAAAGUAAAUAUGCUUUGUAGGCCUGGGUUCUCUGUCACAGCUAAUCAGCUUCAUUGUUAUAGCAUAAAAGCAGCCAUAGACAAUACAUAAACAAAUGAGCCUAGCUGUGUUCUAAUUAAACAUUAUUCACAGAUGCUGAAAAUUGAUUUUCAUUUAUUCUCAUGUCACAAAAUAGUCUUCUGAUUUUUUUCAACUACUUCAAGAUGUAAAAAAUCGUUCUUAGCUUGCAGCCCCUACAAAAACAGGUAGCAGGCCAGAUUUGGCCCAUGGGCCAUAGUCUGCCAACCCUAGCCUUAAGACACUUAAUCCUUGUAACACUCUGUGAAGUAAAUGGUACUACAUUUUUAUUUUGUAGAUGAGGUAAAUAGGUAUGGAGUUAUUAGGUGAUUUUCUCAGAGUCCCAUAGCUAGUAGGUGUUAUAACCAUAAAAAUUACUAUUAUAGAACCUUACGCUUGGUCCACAAAAUCAACUGAAAUAGUAGACAUUUUUGCAACACUUCCAUCCAUUAAUUCCACAAGGAUUUCUUGCACUGUGAGGCUGAUACAGUGCUAGACCCAUUAAAAGAACCUUAUGGUUCUUGUAAGCUGUUCCUUGUUGAUAGCCUUUGUUUUAAUGUUUAAAAGAAUGGCUCAGUUGAAACACAGGCAGGAAAAAAUCAGUAUCUUGGUUUUAUGCAGCCUUUCCACACACACACCUGCCCCCAACGUGCUUCAGAUACUUUUUUUCAUUCAUUCUCUAAACAUCCGUGUGUGAUAAGGUAAGAAUUAACUUCCCUAUUUAAUGUUUGGGGAAACAGGAUGGAGCUUGGGGACGUUGUAUGACUUUGACACUGUGUCUCAGGGCCAUAAUAUUAACAUGAGAACCAGAACUCUUAUUUUCAACAUCUUUCUUAGUACAAAUGCUACAGUGGAAAUGGAGGAAUAAUACACAAAAAUAUAGCUCUGAGGCUAAUUUCAUCAUGACACAAAUGAUCUAAGACAACAGUAGUUCAGUAAAGGUUUUCAGAAGAAUUUCCUAUCUUGCAAUGAACACAGCUAGAGCAGUGUAAAGAAGUAUACCCAUCUAGAUUAUAAACAUAAUAUAAAUGUUAAAAUCACGUUUUUCUUAAAUGUGGAUUUGCUUCUUG
rnacentral:lncRNA from 1 species